rnacentral:rRNA from 1 species
CCUACGGGGAGCUGCAGUGAGGAAUAUUGGUCAAUGGACGAGAGUCUGAACCAGCCAAGUAGCGUGAAGGAUGACUGCCCUAUGGGUUGUAAACUUCUUUUAUAUGGGAAUAAAAUGUUUCACGUGUGGGAUUUUGUAUGUACCAUAUGAAUAAGGAUCGGCUAACUCCGUGCCAGCAGCCGCGGUAAUACGGAGGAUCCGAGCGUUAUCCGGAUUUAUUGGGUUUAAAGGGAGCGUAGGUGGAUUGUUAAGUCAGUUGUGAAAGUUUGCGGCUCAACCGUAAAAUUGCAGUUGAAACUGGCAGUCUUGAGUACAGUAGAGGUGGGCGGAAUUAGUGGUGUAGCGGUGAAAUGCUUAGAUAUCACGAAGAACUCCGAUUGCGAAGGCAGUUCACUGGACUGCAACUGACACUGAGGCUCGAAAGUGUGGGUAUCAAACAGGAUUAGAUACCCUGGUAGUC